CCUACGGGAGGCAGCAGUGAGGAAUAUUGGUCAAUGGGCGGGAGCCUGAACCAGCCAUGCCGCGUGAAGGCGAGUGCCCUACGGGCGUUAAACUUCUUUUGUGCGGGAGGAAUAAGGGCCACGUGUGGCCCGAUGAGAGUACCGCACGAAUAAGCAUCGGCUAACUCCGUGCCAGCAGCGGCGGUGAUAUGUGGGAGGUGAGCGUUAUCCGGGUUUGUUGGGGUUAAAGGGUGCGUAGGCGGUGCUUCAGGUCAGCGGUGAAAAACCGGGGCUCAACCCCGGGGCUGCCGUUGAAACCGGAGCGCUAGAGUUCCGAUGCCGUCGGAGGAAUGUGUGGUGUAGCGGUGAAAUGCAUAGAUAUCACACAGAACACCGAUGGCGAAGGCAUCUUACGAAUCGGAGAUUGACGCUGAGGCACGAAAGCGUGGGUAUCGAACAGGAUUAGAUACCCCUGUAGUC
rnacentral:rRNA from 1 species